rnacentral:rRNA from 1 species
AUACGUAGGUGGCAAGCGUUGUCCGGAAUUAUUGGGCGUAAAGCGCGCGCAGGUGGUUCCUUAAGUCUGAUAUGAAAGCCCCCGGCUCAACCGGGGAGGGUCAUUGGAAACUGGGGAACUUGAGUGCAGAAGAGGAUAGUGGAAUUCCAAGUGUAGCGGUGAAAUGCGUAGAGAUUUGGAGGAACACCAGUGGCGAGGGCGACUGUCGGGUCUGUAACUGACACUGAGGCGCGAAAGCGUGGGGAGAAAACAGGAUUAGAUACCCUGGUAGCCCACGCCGUAAACGAUGAGUGCUAAGUGUUGGGAGGUUUCCGCCCCUCAGUGCUGCAGCUAAAGCAUUAAGCACUCCGCCUGGGGAGUACGGUUGCAAGACUGAAACUCAAAGGAAUUGACGGGG